rnacentral:rRNA from 1 species
GACGAACGCUGGCGGCGUGCUUAACACAUGCAAGUCGAACGAUGAAGCCCAGCUUGCUGGGUGGAUUAGUGGCGAACGGGUGAGUAACACGUGAGUAACCUGCCCUUGACUCUGGGAUAAGCGCUGGAAACGGCGUCUAAUACCGGAUACGACCUGCCCCGGCAUCGGGUGCGGGUGGAAAGUUUUUCGGUCAAGGAUGGACUCGCGGCCUAUCAGCUUGUUGGUGAGGUAAUGGCUCACCAAGGCGACGACGGGUAGCCGGCCUGAGAGGGUGACCGGCCACACUGGGACUGAGACACGGCCCAGACUCCUACGGGAGGCAGCAGUGGGGAAUAUUGCACAAUGGGCGAAAGCCUGAUGCAGCAACGCCGCGUGGGGGAUGACGGCCUUCGGGUUGUAAACCUCUUUUAGUAGGGAAGAAGGACUUCGGUUUGACGGUACCUGCAGAAAAAGCACCGGCUAACUACGUGCCAGCAGCCGCGGUAAUACGUAGGGUGCAAGCGUUGUCCGGAAUUAUUGGGCGUAAAGAGCUCGUAGGCGGUUUGUCGCGUCUGCUGUGAAAACCCGAGGCUCAACCUCGGGCCUGCAGUGGGUACGGGCAGACUAGAGUGCGGUAGGGGAGAAUGGAAUUCCUGGUGUAGCGGUGGAAU